CCAGGAGGCGGGAGGACGCCGACGGCCUGCCCCCUCCGCCAGCUCCGAUUGGCUCAGAUCCUCGACCUCGCUUAUGAUUGGUGACUGGUGCAGUCAAAUUUCUCUCGGCGCCUGGUGCGCAGUGUAGGGCGGCUGACGGGCGGCAGGGGUGGGGUUCGGAGGGGGAGGGGCGGGGCGUGGACUCAAACUGACGUGUGAGGCUGGAGAGGCAGGCAGGUCUCCAGAGUAGCCCCUUCUCUCUGGCUUGGUCAGGAUCGAGGGUGCUACAGAUAGAAACUGGGGGCCAGUGGUCUCGUCCUUUUCAAAACGGAUGGGCUCCUGGACUCUGGGACCUCGAACUGUUUGGGCAACUGAUGGGUAAGAGCCCCUGCAGCCCAGGGGCCGGCCAUCAGUGGGCUUGGUCGUGGCUGGAGUCUGGCCUGGCCAUCGGAGCUCGGCUGUCCAAGCUUGCCGCUGGCCCCCGGCUAUCCGAGCAUGUCCUAAGAGUGGAUAAGUCCUUCAUCUGGGUCCCAGAUUGAUGGAACAAAGCUGAAGAUGACUGUGACUAACAAAGACUACAAAGAGAAAUCAACAGUACUGGGCCAGCUUGCCUGCCAAUGGACCAGACUCAGCAGCCGCAACUGGGACCCUUUUGUUCCUGGUCUCCUCCUGAAGCAGACAACUGACCAGAGUGACCUGACCGGUCAGAUGCCUCAUGACCUGCAACCAGGACUGGAAAAAGACAUAAUUUAAGGGACUGUCUCCAACCUGGAUGGAAGGACUUUUUUAUCAGAAGAAACUGCACUACACCAGGAUGAGAAGAUGAUGACAUCAGAGGUAGAGCUUGCCCAAGAUGCUGGACCUGAUUCGUAUGAUCAUUUAUAACGUUUUCUUGACUUCUUAAACCUUUGCAUAUAAACCAAAUGCUUUUCUAUCAUAGGCCUGAUUCUAUGCUAGUUUUAGAAAUCAAUCCAAUUGUUGGGUUUGUGGGCAAUUACCUGUGUCUAGUUCUGGGUUACCUUGGUAAAUUUCUCUACUACAAGACUCUCACUGGGUGGCCCUGAAAAAAUUUACUUAAAAAAAAUUAUAGUCAUAUUCAGGUCACUGUGAUAUUACUAGAUGGGAUCCCCUCACUGGGCCAAUUAAUAAUGCCUGCUCUGACUCUGGCCAUAAAUUUGAGCUUUUUUUCUAUUACUCAAGCUCAAUCAGAGCAACAAGAAAAGUUUCAGCAAAGAAAGAAAAAAUCUCCCAUAAUUAUGGGAUGGAUUUAUAUAUAUAACACCAGGCUAUGGUAAUUUAGGUUUAAAGUCUCCUCUGUGUUGGAAACAAUUAUAUCAUACUAAGGACAAUCACUUCCACUGUAUAAUCAUAAGGGAUUUGACUUAGGUCAUACCUGAAUGGUCUAGUGGUUUUCCCUACUUUCUUCAAUUUAAGUCUGAAUUUGGCAAUAAGGAGCUCAUGAUC